GCGGGGCCGCGAAGGAGGCUGUUGGAAUAAUCCCCAUCUCAGGGCAACAUCUUUCCAGCCCUAAUUAGACUCCGGGGCAUUAUCCCUGCAUGCGUUGUCGAUGGCGGCCAGGAAAAGGGCGAGGCCAACUUUAUUUCUGAAUUUGGACUGACUUAAAGAAGUGGCAUCACAUUUGAAGGGCACCCAAUCGCUCCGUUGCCCUCGCUGCAUGAAAUUGUAUCUGCUUGCCACUUCCUAUCUCGCCGGGCGCAGCUGGGCUGCUAUGGAAGUGGCAGCUUGUGAUUUUAAUACCAAAGAAAGCCCAGAGCUCAGAGAGAGGCAGAGGAAAUACUCUUUGAGCUGCUGAACACUUUAGUGUUCAGCCCCUUAACCUAAGGAGGAGCUACACAAAUGAAGAACUGUGGAACUGACCUCAGAUGCUCUCUCGUUGGAAAUUGGCACGCAAACCACAACCACGAUGGCGGCUUCUGAGAGGUGGAGGAGAGGGGUGUGGCAAAGCAGCAAGGAAGGGGGUCUGGGGUCCAGCCCAGCUGGGACAGUGAAGGUUCCCUGUUCAAGGGGACUCUGUUCCUUGGACAAUGAUUGCUUCCUUUAUGCUCUGGAGUCCAGCAGAGACUGACACACAGUUGGGGCUAAACACGUCUGAGGGUGAUGAAACUCCCAUUUCUGACGCCGUCAACUUGUUUUCUGUAAUGUUAGCCCUGCCAUAUUCCAGCUCGACAGAGCUUGGGCAGCCCGAGGUGGUGACUGUAUUUGGCCAUCAGCCAUGUCCCUUGCAGGGCCAGUCUCUGAGGUGCCAUGAGACCUUCUGUGCCUGGCAAGCCGGGGCACUUCGGAGAAUGGCAGCUGCCUGGUUUCUCAGGGGAGCAACUACAUUCCUAAGUCGCUUGGGGAUCGCUUGACUUCCCUCAUUCAUUCACCCAUCCUUCCAUCCAUCUAUUCCUUCAUCCAGCAAAUUGGACCCCUUCCGUGUGCCAGACACUGUUCUGAGCAGAAGCACCUGCCCUUGAGGAAGUGACACUCCAGUGGGGAGAGACAAGUAAGCUCACAAAGAUCUAUCUGCAAAAUCAAAUUCCAGGUAGUGAUCAGUGCCACGAACAAAAAUAAAAAUGAAUAAAGAGAUGUAAAAUGAUUUCCUUCCCCAAGGGCAGAGGAUUCUUUCUAGCAGGUUAUUUGGAAAAGUUCCCUCUGAAGAGGUGACAUUUGAUCAUUGUUAAAGUCACAUGCAUCAUUGUGAACAUUUCACAAAACACAGAAGAACCUAAUGCUUUCGCACAAACCAUCAUCUAGAAAUCACACCAUCUCAACAUCUUGUCGUUUAAAAAUUGAUAUAUAAUAAUGGUACAUAUUUCUGGGGUCCCUGUGAUAUUUUGAUACAUGCAGACAAUGUGUAAUGAUCAAAUCAGGGUAAUUAGGCUAUCCAUCACUUCAAACAUGUAUCAUUUCUUUGCCAAUGCCUUGUCUUUUGUCGUCUUAAAGUACAGAUUUGCAUCAUGCUUUUUAAAAUUUAACAUUACACUAUAAUUAUUUUGUAGCUGUGUUUAUGUUUUUCUGUUUUCAAGUAUCAAUAUAUAGUAUGGAUUUUUAAAAAAUUGGUACUGUAAAUGUACAUGAAGUUUUUCUGUCUUUACAAAAGAAGUGCAUAUUGUUGUAUGAAUUCUAGAAAAUCAAGAUAAGGAAGAAAAUUAAAAUCCUUCAUAAUCCUACUCAUUGAGCAUACUGGUCUAUGUCUUUCCCAUUUUUUCCUUCCUUAUAAACAUGGAAAGACAUCAUACCUAGAGCAUGUUCAGUUUGUGUCUGGCUUUUUCAUAAUCAUACUUUAAAACUGGAAAGCUGGUGUGUGCAAGUGGCAGGGGGAGCUUACCUCACAGGACACAGCAGCAGAACCCAUGGGCUUUGGCCCACUCUGCC
rnacentral:lncRNA from 10 species